rnacentral:rRNA from 1 species
GAUGAACGCUGGCGGCGUGCCUAAUACAUGCAAGUCGAGCGAACGGACGAGAAGCUUGCUUCUCUGAUGUUAGCGGCGGACGGGUGAGUAACACGUGGAUAACCUACCUAUAAGACUGGGAUAACUUCGGGAAACCGGAGCUAAUACCGGAUAAUAUUUUGAACCGCAUGGUUCAAAAGUGAAAGACGGUCUUGCUGUCACUUAUAGAUGGAUCCGCGCUGCAUUAGCUAGUUGGUAAGGUAACGGCUUACCAAGGCAACGAUGCAUAGCCGACCUGAGAGGGGGAUCGGCGACAUUGGAACUGAACCGCGGUCCAGACUCCUACGGGAGGCAGCAGUAGCGAAUCUUCCGCAAUGGGCGAAAGCCUGACGGUGCAACGCCGCGUGAGUGAUGAAGGUCUUCGGAUCGUAAAACUCUGUUAUUAGGGAAGAACAUAUGUGUAAGUAACUGUGCACAUCUUGACGGUACCUAAUCAGAAAGCCACGGCUAACUACGUG